GAUGAACGCUGGCGGCGUGCCUAAUACAUGCAAGUCGAGCGAACGGACGAGAAGCUUGCUUUUCUGAUGUUAGCGGCGGACGGGUGAGUAACACGUGGAUAACCUACCUAUAAGACUGGGAUAACUUCGGGAAACCGGAGCUAAUACCGGAUAAUAUUUUGAACCGCAUGGUUCAAAAGUGAAAGACGGACUUGCUGUCACUUAUAGAUGGAUCCGCGCUGCAUUAGCUAGUUGGUAAGGUAACGGCUUACCAAGGCAACGAUGCAUAGCCGACCUGAGAGGGUGAUCGGCCACACUGGAACUGAGACACGGUCCAGACUCCUACGGGAGGCAGCAGUAGGGAAUCUUCCGCAAUGGGCGAAAGCCUGACGGAGCAACGCCGCGUGAGUGAUGAAGGUCUUCGGAUCGUAAAACUCUGUUAUUAGGGAAGAACAUAUGUGUAAGUAACUGUGCACAUCUUGACGGUACCUAAUCAGAAAGCCACGGCUAACUACGUG
rnacentral:rRNA from 1 species